CUCAAAAACGAAUAGGCAAAAAAAGCCAAAAAGAAAAACCUGACACAGAGAAGAAAAAGAGCAAAUUUGGUUUAGGCAGCAGAAGCACUUUCUUGGUGGACUUAACCCCUAACACACCUGAGGGCAAGCUGUAUAUUGUCUCUGUGUGUCAUGUUAUAUGACCAUGUAGCAGCUAGCCACAUUCCAGGCUGGAUUUCCUCAGGGCUACUGGUGACACAUGAAUCCAACCAGCAGUGACACAGGGCUGACUGUGUACAACAGGAGGACUUCCCUUUUCACAGUGUCUGUCUAUAGGAAGCCCUGAUGGAGUCACAGAGUGCACAGAGGAAGAUGUUUGUCUGGAAGAAUUGAGCAGGGAAAGAAAGGGCAGAAACAUUUCCUGCUCUAAAAUGGAUGUAGUGUGCUCAGGGGAAAAACCCAUAAGGGGCCAGUGAGUCCUUCUUGCUCCCAUGGGCUAAAAUUAGUUUCACUAUUCCUAGGUACUAGUGGCAGUGGAGAAUCUAGUCUUACAUGGGCUAUAUCUGCCCCAGCCUUUGGAGGAGCUGAUUGAUGGCUAUCAGUUGGAAUGAGCCAAGCCAUUUGUAUGCUCCAUGUUUUGUCCACGUCACAAAGGCAGUUUGUGGUUUUCCUUGGUUCCUGGAAAGUCCAGUUCAGUUUGUACAACAGUGCUGGCUCACAGAUUCCCUACUGGGAGCCCAUUAAUUCCAGAGCAUGCAGAUUGCUGAAGGAUCUCGAGGGAUGUCUUUCUUCUUCUCUCUCUGCCCCUUGAUCCACUCUCAGACUUACCAAGGAAUUGUAGUUUGCCCCACGGACAACUCACAUAAUGGGUUCUUUUGCUUGCACCAUGCUGAUUCUGCUUUAGGAUCUCUCCUGUGACUCACUAACUAUUCUUACUCUGAGACUCUGCUACUAAUGAUUUUUUUUGAGGAGCCUUCAGUAAAGUUGACGGUGAGCAAGGGCCCCUUCUCCCUGUCAGCAAGUGCACCUCCUCCCUGGCCAGCUGUCUUCCCUUCUCUGUGGGCAGUUGCAACCCCUGCACUUCCCUCUCUCAUUCUCCAGUUUCUAGGGGUUUUUGUUUGCUUUUGCAUCCUCAGCAGGUCAGCUCUGGCCCUUAGCCUUCUCCAUUUCAUUCUGAUGCUUCCUGGGAUUCUUACUGCGUCCAUGUGUGAGCAUGAGCCUCUUUUCACCUAUAGGUCUUCAGCACCCUCCCAGGGCAGCUUCCCCAGCCCUCUGUUCCUGCUCUUCCUCCCCUCUGUGCUGAGUGCCUUUCUUGGCACUGUGGUUUGCUUUCUGCCAUGUAGGAGAAGAAUUCACCUGGCCCCACCAUGAGAGUGCCUGUGCUGUACAUGAGGACUGAGAACCCCAGGACUGCUGGGAGGACAUGGCCUGAGCAUCUUGGGAACUGCAGCAGUGAUGCAGCAGGAGAGAUGCAAACCAGUCCUUAAGCUCUUUGGCAUUUAAGGCACCCCCAUUCUGCAGCUGAAUGUACAGAGACAGAUUUACGCAGGUCUUUCAGAUUCCAAGCCUGCAUUUUAAACAGAUAUCUAAGCUGUCAGGAGUCCUGUAGCUCAUAUAUGCUGUGACUACAGCUUCUGCCUCCAGCUGUUGGAAUUUCACUCCUAUUUCCUCUUGAAUUGGCUUCUCCUCUUCUUCAUUGCACCCCACGUGUAGCCCCAUGGUUUGAACUUAAGUGUGCUUAGUUGGUCCAUCUGCCCCACAGAGAACAUACUUCAUCAUCAGUAAAUAGCUCAGUUCUCUUCCUUUUGAUCUCUUUUCUCCUGAACUGUGUGUGCUCUUCUGUGGGAAGAGCUUCUCUUUAGCACUCAAUGGCUUACCUAAAUUGGUGUCCCUUAUGUCUGUCACUCCUGUUCCUCCUGCUCAGCCUCAUUCCUUCCUUAAAGAAGGCUUAUCUUUCUGCUGCAGUUUUAUUUCUCCAUCUUUUCUGCAUUUUGGUCUGCCCCAGGUUCAAGUGCACUUAGUUUUCUAUGUAAGUUAGGGAGCUAUGCUCCAUAAGGAUCACCACAUGGGAGAGGAGAUAGUCUGACAAGUCAUGGCAAUCGAAUGUGUUGUGCUUAUGAUUAUCUUGUGUCUCUUUGGGCCUUAGCCUAUAAUUGUCCACCUCUGUCUUCUUUGUGUCAGACUAUCAGAGCUAGCUUUACGAUUCCCUGCUUGGGUCUGAGCACUUGUUACAUGGAGGUGCAGCAGAAUGAAUGGGUUUUGUCCCAGACACCCCUCUGCUCUGACUUAUAGUUCUAGACCCAAGGCACCAGAAGGAUACUCUGCAUCUCUGGUUUUUAUGGCUGUUCCUUCAGUCAGGUUGUAGAUAAAGAUACCCAAAAAGCUGGAAGGCAACCUAGCUCCUCUGCAGCUGUGACAACGUCCAGCUGUACUGCAUGGUCAGGGUGCCUUGUACUUGGGAGGAGCAGGGGAGAGGUUUCAAAUGGUCACACUGGCAAAAACAGCACACUGGGCAAGAGCUUGGAGUCCUGCCUCAUCAGUCCACCUAUGCCUUCGUGAAGGAUGUUCUUUCUCUCAGCUUCCAACCUGCAGGCAUCUCCUGGUCCUCUGUUGUUUAUGAUACUGCAAUUUGUUGCCUUGGAAAUAAGUGCUGGUUUGUCCCAAACAGAGCCUACAGUUUUAUAGUGCAAUCAAGCAAGAGGAGCAGAUGGCUACCCCAUCUCUUCUGUUGUGUUUCCCAUUAUCCUCAUCCACAGUUGGAUGACAGGAAUCUAUAAUUCAGUGCAAAUAUCUGUGGCCCGGCUGCAUCUACCCAUGUAAGCUGGGGAGCCAUGUUUCUGCUGGGAUAUGACAUGCCUUUGUGUCUAGCAUCACUAUUUUGGCUUCCUGCAAAUGGAAUUUGACCAAAAAGUAAAAAAACCCCAACCUUCUCACUUACUUUAGUGGUGUCUAGGAUCAGGGGGCAGAAGGAAAGUUCAAUACCUGCAGUUUCUGUUUCCCAGGGCUUUGUAGUAUCUAUCCUUAAUCACUUGACCCUCUGCAACCUCAUUUUACUGUUUUAUAUGUCGGACUUUGGACAAUAUACACCAUCUAUUCUCUGUAGACACCAGCAUUAUUCUUUCCUGCAGUUCUCCUGGGCUGAAGCUGCAGUUUGGCAGCAGCUGUGCUAGGCAGGUGCUUGUACCCGGGGGACCACCGUGCUGACUGCCAGAGAUUCCUGGCACUGGGUACUACAGAGUUAAGCAGCCAGGCUGGAGUGUGCAAACAAACAGUGAGACCUGUACUAACAGCCCUGCUUUGUGUUAGUGGGAAGCACAGGCUCCAACUUCUUCCGAUUUCUCACCUGUCCAGACUGGUACAGAAAGAAAAUGCCUCUUGGAGUUUCAGAGAAAACCACACCUAUUUACAGUGGAUUCCCCAGGGCCCUCCUGUGGGGUAUUAACCCUUCAGCCUCAGGCCCACAGCCUACCUUUGGGGCUGUGUUUCCACAUCCAUGAGCCUUCACCUUCCACACACUUUAUUUUAGACAAAAAUAUGCAAAUCAUCCCUUUCAUCUGAAGAGAAAGCCAUCUGCCAAGCAGCAAGCACAUGUUUCCAGCACAGUGGCAAGACUGACCAGCCCUGGUAGGGCCAGACGUGUUUAUCUGCAUCAUUCAGCAAACAGCCUGUUGUAGGUGACUUUUUUGUUCACUUUUACCCACUGAAGCCAUGAAUUCUCAAUUAAUUGUUACAUCUUUUCUAGCCAAAAUGAAACUAUCUGAAAAGUAAACAUAUUUGGUGUUUACAUGAGGCUAAACCCAGCUUGGGAAAAGAACAGAUCAAGCACAGGCGGCUGCAAGAGCAGGGAAAAUUCCCCUGUGAGACACAAGUUCCCAAGUCAAGGAAGAAUGAUGCAAGUUUGUCCCUUUAAACAUGUGCGUAAGCACUGUCCCAGGCAAGGAUUGCUUCCCUGGAACUAGCUCCUCAAUAGUUAGGUAAGUCCCAGUCAGGACUAACUUGCAUUAUAAUAAUAAUGGAGGCUCAGCUGCCUCCAGGACCUGCAAUGGGGAAGCAGGGUAGGAAAACAUUUGUAGGGCUGAUGGGCUCUCCUUCCCAUUUCCCAGCCUUCUUCAGCACAGUCUUGAAAUCAGUGCACUGCAAACAUGCUGCAAGUGCUGGUCUUUUACAGACCAGUGGAUGCUGGAUCCCUGCUCCCAGCCUGUGGAGGCUGUCUGGGAGAGAAAGGGCCAAUAGUCAAGGCUGGAGCAAUAGAUGUCUGUGUCACAAGGAGAUCUCCCAGCUCUGCCCACCAGUGAAAGGGAAAUGAAAAAGGCAAAAACGCUGGAAGACAGCAGGGAGAGCUCUCUUUCUUCCAACCCCCUGCAAAGAAGGGGAAAUGGCACUUUCCCACCUUCCCCAGGGUAGGGAAAGGCUGCAGGAGGAACUAUGUGCUGGACUGGACCUUGCUCAACCAGGUCAUCAGCCUCUUCUGAAAUCCCUCUGGUUUGUCCUCUUCCCUCAGGAUGCAGCAGUUGUGAGGAAGCUGCCAUGCCCUGGAGGCAACUUGUCUGAUUUGUUGGAGAGAGAUGUUGUUUGUCAACCCCAUUGGGAUACCUGGAGCUUAAGGCAAUAGAAAAGUCUGUCCUAUCUGAUGCAGGAAGGAAUGCAUAUGGAAAAAAUAUAUCCUGGCUGAUGUUUCUCCUUUCCCCCCAAGAUGAGGUGCCAAGAUUAGGGAAAUAUUGGGGUUGUAUGCAAAAGUGUACAGAAAGUAUUCUGCCUCUCUGAAAACAAACAAAAGAACAACAGCAUGAGAAGAUUAGUAAUGAAGAUAUAUGUGCAGUGUUCUGCCAAGCCAAGAUGUUAGCUACUUCAGUAGGACAACUUGGGCAGGUUACAUCCUAUAUUGAGCACAACAUUUCUGAUCCCAUGUUCCUGCUGUGUCUCAGAUCUCUCUGAAUUCUCUUUCUCUUGCUAAGGUACAGAUGAAGAGGACAAGGCUGGAAGUACUGAUGGCAAGACCUUGUAGAUGAUAAAUAGCGUGAAUCCUCAGUUGUGAAAAGAAAUUAAAUUGGUGAUUGCUGAAAAGAAACAAUGACUGACAAGUCAGGGGAAGGAAAAUGAGGUAGAGUGGAAGGUGCCUCUCUGUGGUGUUAGGUGGGUCAGAGAGGUGGCACUGUCACUCAGCUGGCUAGUGCUGCUCAGCCUGGUGGUUUUGGUAAUUACUCUUAGAAUGUUGUCUUUCCGAAGGAUUUCUGUCCUGAAAUGCUUUAGGAGCAACAGCCCUGGAGCAUCCACUACCAUUGGUAGAUCCAGCAUGAUCCUUCAGUUGUGCAAAGCUUUGCUUCCCCAGAAGAGUUUGGCUGAUGCAGCUGGGAAGAGGUCAAUGUUAGAGAGAAAGAGGAAAGAAACAAACACAAAUCAGUUCUCAGGAAGGCCCCACUCUGUCACCUGCUCCAUGAUCCCCAUCUGACAUCAAGGUGCUAGAACACUGGGCACCAUGGGUAUACCUGUGCUUCAGGCAAUGUCCCAUCCUGAUGUCCCAUUGAUGAUAAGAAAACAAAAC